UAAUACCGGCAGCCCAAGUGGUGAUCCCUUUUAUUGAGCCUAAAACGUCCGUAGCCGGCCCGGCAAAUCUCUGGGUAAAUCGGGCAGCUUAACUGUUCGAAUUCUGGAGAGACUACCGGGCUUGGGACCGGGAGAGGCCAGAGGUACGUCGGGGGUAGGGGUAAAAUCCUUUAAUCCUCGACGGACCACCGGUGGCGAAGGCGUCUGGCUAGAACGGAUCCGACAGUAAGGGACGAAGGCUAGGGGCGCAAACCGGAUUAGAUACCCGGGUAGUCCUAGCUGUAAACGCUGCAGGCUUGGUGUUGAGACUCCUUCGGGGGGUCUCAGUGCCGUAGCGAAGGUGUUAAGCCUGCUGCUUGGGGAGUACGGCCGCAAGGCUG
rnacentral:rRNA from 1 species